rnacentral:rRNA from 1 species
CCUACGGGAGGCAGCAGUCGGGAAUCUUUCACAAUGGGGGAAACCCUGAUGCAGCGACGCCGCGUGAGCGAUGAAGUAUUUCGGUAUGUAAAGCUCUAUCAUCAGGGAAGAAGAUGACGGUAACUGACUAAGAAGCCUCGGCUAACUACGUGCCAGCAGCCGCGGUAAUACGUAGGGGGCAAGCGUUAUCCGGAUUUACUGGGUGUAAAGGGAGCGUAGACGGCGAUGCAAGCCAGAUGUGAAAGCCCGGGGCUCAACCCCGGGACUGCAUUUGGAACUGGGUGGCUGGAGUGUCGGAGAGGCAGGCGGAAUGCCUAGUGUAGCGGUGAAAUGCGUAGAUAUUAGGAGGAACACCAGUGGCGAAGGCGGCCUGCUGGGCGAUGACUGACGUUGAGGCACGAAAGCGUGGGGAGCAAACAGGAUUAGAUACCCUUGUAGUC